GCUCGGAUGGCGAAAUCGGUAGACGCAAGGGACUUAAAAUCCCUCGGGGGUAACCCCGUGCCGGUUCGACCCCGGCUCCGGGCACCA
rnacentral:tRNA from 1 species